rnacentral:lncRNA from 1 species
CGUAACACUAAUGAUAUCCACUUAUAUCACUAAGAAUAAAAGUUAAGAGUUUGGCCGAAGCUCACUCCCUUGGUCCCAUCCUUCUUCAAGCAAGCUAUUGCUCCAGUAUCAACUUGAGAAUGGAAUUCCAGCUCUAAUACCAACUGAUGUAAGGUAUUUUUAUCAUUUUAUCCAAAACAUAAAGCUUAUGGAAAUAAUUAAUAUAUCAUAUAUUACCCAAAAUCAAGCUCGUGAAUCCACUCCGAUUCAAGAAUGCUUUUUGAUGUGAAACAGUUAGAAGAGAAAUCACAAAUCAGAUGGAAAAGAGGAAAAAUAGAAUAGAUAUACGAAAACGUGAAUAACUUUUAGUUUGGGUGUCAGAUUUUCAUGAGCAAGCUCAAUCCUAGUUUUCAAUUCUGUACAAAUUUUUUGUAUGACAAGGUUUUGGGGUCAAAUUCCAUUGUUUAGUGGUACGUUUUAGCAUUUUUCUGUUUUGAGUCAAUUUAAGGGCUUUUUCAUCAAUUUUGCAAUUUUUUAUAAUCUUAUUCACAUUUGUCGAUUGAGUUAAGAUUUUGAUUUAAUCAGGAAUUGUUUUGACUCUUUAAAUAUGUGUUAAGGGUUUGAAAACUCUACAUACGGUUUUUAUUAAUAAUAAUUUAAUAUUUCUUUAGUUGGUGGAUUUCAAUAUUUCUCAAGUCUAUUUGAACGAAAUUCGAGCAACGCAAGUUCGUGUGCUAUAGACAAGGACUUUUUGUUUGCAUUAAGUUCAUUGCUAGGGCCUAAAAGCACAUUACUGUGGAGGAAUGAUUUAACGUAAUCUAUAAAUCAAAGCAAUGGAGGGUACUAACCCAUGAGCCAACAAAGAAAUUGAUGAUGGUGGUGGACGACAAAUGACAUACACAACCUUCUAUCUUCAACGGGUCAGCACAACCAACGAGAUUCAAUACUUAUCUCGUACAGUGAUCUAAUUUGAAAGAUGAUCUCUACCAAGUUUAAGAUCUGAACCUAUUGUAAAAGCCACCUCACAUCAAAGGAACCCAUGUAAGAUCAAAUCAGCUAAAGUACUAUAUAUAUGAUCAUGACUAUGGGCAUAACACACUUAAGAAUGAAGUAGAGCAGCUAAUUUAAAUGGAGAAUCUAACAUAACAUAAUCCAUUAUGAGCUAAUCUCCUCCAGUUCUACCUAUUAAAACGAAGGCCGAGCAAUCCACCACAAUGUCGAGGAAAACCAUUUCGAUAGUACAAAAAAUAUAAUUUGAAACAUCAAUAUAAUUUAUGGUGGGCCUUAUGGUAGUUGUGACAUGUAAAAUGAUGGUCGUGACUCUAAAAGAUAUGGAGAACAUAAUGAAUCCAUGUAGUCUUGAUAUUUUCUUUUAGAGGUGUUAAAAUGGAAUAUACUUUUGACCAUUGUUUUUGGCAGGGUAACGUAGUCAAGAGAUCUUGGUUCCACUCAAAUUCAUGCCUAAGGCUCCUGCAUAUUUGGAAAAAAAAUUUGAAGUACAUGUCCUUUUUCGAUGUAGGAAAAGCGAUCGCAAGCACUUUGGUCAGUCAACUUAUAUAUUUGGGUGUAAGAAAAACACAAGAUGUGAGCUAAAAAUAUACAUACUAGUGCCGGGAGAGAUGAAAUAAUAACAAUAGACAAUAUUACUAUUAAGAGUGUAAAAUUGCAUUAUCUUUAAAUGAAAAGAAGGUUGACAAGUUGGUUGAGAGGUGUCUACUGUAGAGAAGUCACAUCAAGCAAUCACAUAGGACCUUAUAUAGAAGACCUUUUAGAAAAGGUAGUCACAUAAGAUCUUUUAUGGAAGAUCUUGUAGAAGAUGCGAAUCUAUGGAGAUGCCUUUGUAGAAUUAAAAGCUCUUUACUUCGAUAAUAAAUUACAAUAGAUCAUGGCAUCUAACUUGAUUUGACCUCUGCAUGGUGCCUCGAGGAAGGUGAUGCAUCAUUUCAACUUCCUAUUUUGUUAGCUUAGAUUGGUUUAGGUAAGCGAGUGAUAUAGAGUGUUGGCCUAAGGUGAGUUGUUUACUAACGCCACGUGACUAAUGAUUAGAACCUCAUAGGAUGAAACAUAUCAAUAGUCCCCAAGUUCAGAUAUGAAUAUUCAUAUAAGGCAUAAUUUUUGGUAAGAAGGUGAAAUAUAUUAUGAUGGGGGGAUAACAAAUUGCCUCUAAUAUUUAACUUAGCUGUACUGAUGAUGUGAUUACGGUUGGAGAAGUAAUGAUGUUCCAAUUUGCUAUCUUUACCAAGGCAUUAGACCAUAUUACAGUGGUCCCCGUUUUGUGGUGACAUUGAGCGAAGUAAAUAGUUUAGUUUUGACGAUGUACAACAAGUUAGUCUCCUAAGUUUAAAUAUAGAUACUCUUAUAAUGCAUGGACUUUCAUUACCGAUGAGGUUUAUGUACUACGGCAAUAAGUGGAGAUUUGAACCCUAAACUAGUGAAGGCAAGUUUGGGUGAGGUCCCAAUACAAGGGUGGGAAAUAGUUGAGAGGUUGGAGUUUCUGUAUUUAGGGAUGAAGCCAUUGAUAGCAUAAAAGAUGUUUAUGUAGAGGUGAAGUCUCUUUCAUUAAGGGUCUCUAAGGGUUAAGUUGAAGACAUGUUGCAGAGGCGAAGUUCUACAUUGUUGGGUUGAUGCCUCUGAAGAUAGAUGUAAUAGAAAUACAAAGGCGAAGUCCUAUAUUUUAGGGACAGGGCCUUUGAUAGUAGAAUCAUAUUGAUGCAAGCGUAGUCUCAUGUUUCAAGGAUAAGGCAUCUAAAAUUAGGUGAAACACUGUAGCAGAGGGAAGCUGUAGCCUCUGAAGUGAAAAGAUAUUGAUGUUAUGCAUGCUAAUAAUUUGAAAGAUCACAUGUUUUCAAGAAGAGUCAGCUGGGUGUUGCAUUUUUCCAAUGCACACAUAGUUGAAACAUUUGAUGCAUAAUGAUGGGUCGUUUUAUGAACUCCGAGAUAACGUGCCAAUACUUAGUGCAUAUGAUGCACGAUUUCAUCCCGGCCUUUGAUUCAUUAGUCAUUUCGUUUCUACGGUUUGGAUAAAGUUCACAAAUAGACAUCUCAGACUUGUCGUAAUUAGAUCCAAUUGCUAAGGUGAGUUAAAUCUGCCCAUAAAAGGUCCCCUUUUUUCUUUCUUCAAAUAUUCACUUUUGUUAGAACUCCAAAAACCUCAUCCUUAAACCUUGUUGAAAAAUCUCUGGCCACUAACUAUUAUUCUAGCAAGCAUCUUUAUUUUUUUAUUUUUGUCCAAGUCCCAUAAAUCAUUAUCAUUUACUCAUUUAUCUUAUCUCUUUGUUUUUACUGAAACCUUAGUUUUUUUUAUUUUUUGAAAAUUGGCUUUUGAAUCUUGUCGUGGUUCUAGUAGUAGGGGUAAACCUCGAAAUGAUAGCAUCCGAGGUGAGGAUCUCAAACUUUUCUAAAAUAGAGGAUCGGUCAUGUAGAUUGGGUUAGGAAAAGGCAUAUGGGUGAGUACGAGGGCUUCUUUUGUACAUCACAUCACCUUUAAAGGUGAAGUGUGCUACUCUCCACCUAAGCCUAUGUGCUUACCUUUGUUGUCAAGAACAAUAUGAUCUUUGAGGAAGGCUAUAAUUGGUUUCAUCCAUGAUGGUCUGUCUUCUAUCCACGUCACUGUAGGACCUCCAUCGAUGGAUUGCCUUGGAAGAUGCUCAUGGGCAUUAUCUUGAGUAGCUCUGAAACUUUGCCAUUGGCCAAUUUAGAUGGUAUAUCGACAUAGGCAUUUUCAAGGCACGAGAUUUGCGCCAACUUAAAAAAAGUGAGUGAAAAUCUAUAACAUGUUUGAACCAAUUUUCCUAGAACAGUUAUAAAUGAUGUUGGGCUCAAUAGUUAGUUACUUUUUCCCCUUUUAGGGAAAAUUAGAUAUCACACCUCUUCAAAAAAUAAUAUUCAUUUUAUACAUUUCCGAAAAAAUAAUAUUCAUUUUAUACAUUUCCGAA